CUCCCCCUGACCCCCACCCCUGAGUGGUGGGUGGGGGCCCUAAAUUGAAAUACUGUAGGGCCCCCACCCACCGCUCAGGGGUGGGGGCCAGGGGGAG